CAGCCGCCGCGGUAAUACGUAGGGUGCAAGCGUUAAUCGGAAUUACUGGGCGUAAAGCGUGCACAGGCGGUUAUAUAAGACAGAUGUGAAAUCCCCGGGCUCAACCUGGGAACUGCAUUUGUGACUGUAUAGCUAGAGUACGGCAGAGGGGGAUGGAAUUCCGCGUGUAGCAGUGAAAUGCGUAGAUAUGCGGAGGAACACCGAUGGCGAAGGCAAUCCCCUGGGCCUGUACUGACGCUCAUGCACGAAAGCGUGGGGAGCAAACAGGAUUAGAUACCCCUGUAGUCCCUGUCUCUUAUAC
rnacentral:rRNA from 1 species